UACAGGGGUCCCAAGCGUUGUUCGGAUUCACUGGGCGUAAAGGGUGCGUAGGUGGUGAGGUAAGUCGGAUGUGAAAGCUCGGAGCUCAACUCCGAAAUGGCAUUGGAAACUACCUUGCUCGAGGGUUGGAGGGGGGACUGGAAUACUUGGUGUAGCAGUGAAAUGCGUAGAUAUCAAGUGGAACACCAGUGGCGAAGGCGAGUCCCUGGACAACUCCUGACACUGAGGCACGAAAGCUAGGGGAGCAAACAGG
rnacentral:rRNA from 1 species